rnacentral:rRNA from 1 species
UACGUAGGGUGCGAGCGUUAAUCGGAAUUACUGGGCGUAAAGCGUGCGCAGGCGGUUCGUUGUGUCGGCGGUGAAAGCCCCGGGCUUAACCUGGGAACGGCCGUUGAAACUGGCGAACUGGAGUGUGGCAGAGGGGGGUGGAAUUCCGCGUGUAGCAGUGAAAUGCGUAGAGAUGUGGAGGAACACCGAUGGCGAAGGCAGCCUCCUGGGCCAGCACUGACGCUCAUGCACGAAAGCGUGGGGAGCAAACAGG